CUCCUACAGGGAGGGUUGAGGAACAACUUCAGCUCCUUCCUCUUGUAGUCUUUGCAAAAGAGGGCUCAGGUGGGGAUGGGGGGGCCUGUGACUCUUAACACCUCACUUGCAGUCCAGUAGUCAAGAGAGUGCAAAAUGCAGAGAGAGUACUGAAGUGCAGGAUCCUUGGAAUCCUUUUCUUAAAACUUGAUUAUUUAUUUGAUUUUUGCAGUAUUGGGAAUAGAACCCAGAACAUUCUGCCCCUGAUCUACAGCCCCUUGCACCCCCCUCCUUUUUUUUUCUUUUUUUUUUUUUUGGCGGUACUAGGACUGAACCCAGAGGGAGCUAUACCACUGAGCUUCAUCCCCAGCUCUUUUUAUUUUGAGACAGGGUCUCCCUAAAUUGCCCAAGCUGGCCUCCAACUUAAUAUCCUCAGCCUCUCAAGUAGCUGGGAUUAGAGGCAUGUGUCGCUGCUUUUUGCCUUAGAGUCCAGUUCUUUCUGCCAUCGUCUCUUUUGCCCUCAGGCUUGGAUACACCAGGAAAUUGCCCCUACCUCCUUUCUCUCAAAGAAAAAAAAAAAAAAGAUAAUAAUUUAAAUGUCUUAUUUUUAAAAAUUAAACCUUACAAAAUAUAGAUUUUAAAAAUGAGCUGCGUGUGGUGGUAAUCCCAGGACUCUGGAGGUUAAAGCAGGAGGAUUACAAAUUCCAGGACAGCCUCAGCAAUUUAGUGAGGCCCUAAGCAAUUUAGCGAGAUCCUGUCGCAAAAUAAAAAUAAAAAGGGCUGGGGAUGUAAUAGUCCUGGAAAAAUAAAACAAACAAAAAGC
rnacentral:lncRNA from 1 species